rnacentral:rRNA from 1 species
AACGAUGUCUACUUGGAGGUUGUGCCCUUGAGGCGUGGCUUCCGGAGCUAACGCGUUAAGUAGACCGCCUGGGGAGUACGGCCGCAAGGUUAAAACUCAAAUGAAUUGACGGGGGCCCGCACAAGCGGUGGAGCAUGUGGUUUAAUUCGAUGCAACGCGAAGAACCUUACCUGGUCUUGACAUCCACAGAACUUUCCAGAGAUGGAUUGGUGCCUUCGGGAACUGUGAGACAGGUGCUGCAUGGCUGUCGUCAGCUCGUGUUGUGAAAUGUUGGGUUAAGUCCCGCAACGAGCGCAACCCUUAUCCUUUGUUGCCAGCGGUUAGGCCGGGAACUCAAAGGAGACUGCCAGUGAUAAACUGGAGGAAGGUGGGGAUGACGUCAAGUCAUCAUGGCCCUUACGACCAGGGCUACACACGUGCUACAAUGGCGCAUACAAAGAGAAGCGACCUCGCGAGAGCAAGCGGACCUCAUAAAGUGCGUCGUAGUCCGGAUUGGAGUCUGCAACUCGACUCCAUGAAGUCGGAAUCGCUAGUAAUCGUGGAUCAGAAUGCCACGGUGAAUACGUUCCCGGGCCUUGUACACACCGCCCGUCACACCAUGGGAGUGGGUUGCAAAAGAAGUAGGUAGCUUAACCUUCGGGAGGGCGCUUACCACUUUGUGAUUCAUGACUGGGGUGAAGUCGUAACAAGGUAACCGUAGGGGAACCUGCGGUUGGAUCACCUCCUUACCUUAAAGAAGC